rnacentral:lncRNA from 1 species
UAGUAAAUCACUGUUCUUCAAAAUAUAUAUAAACAGAGAUAUAGUAAAUCACUGUUCUUUUAUAAACUGGGACCUUAUUCUAUUUUUUAUCCCUAUAAUAAUAUAUUUUAUAACUUCUGUUUAGAAUAUUGGCAGAUAAUAGAACUUGAUUGCCUGAUUUUCAAUUUAAACACUUAUCAAUCAAAUACAUAAGUACUUGUUCAGGGUGGAGAAAAGUUAAUACUUUAUAUUAUCUAUGUAUCUCUGAAAGACAAGAAAGUUUCUGUACAUUUACAGACUACAAAUAUAGAAGUUAAAGCAAAUGCCUUCUAGCUGGCAUAAUCUUAGGAAAAAAGCAGACUAAAGUAUUAUAAAUUGGUAGCAGAAGAUGUGUAAAGACAAGACAUGAUCACCUAGAUAAUAUAAAUCAAUUUUCUAUUCUUUUGCUGAAGCCUAGACCCCACACGGCAGCCUGAUGUAAUUCCAUUACCAUGCUUAAUUACUUGGCACUUGUAUAGCCUUUUUAUUUUUGUGUUACUGUUAUUCCUGGUAAAUCAUUCAGAAGAAAUAAAUUAGCUUGCCACUCAAAAUUAACUACUAUGGUGCAUUGCUGCCCCACCCCGCAAAAGAUGAGUUGACAGCUACUGGGCGUUAAUCUAGCCAUUUUUUGAUAACAGAGUAUCUCUUUGCACAUAGUUAUGAGAGUUAUAAACAUUCCAAAUGUAAUUAUCUCAGUCCUUUACAACUUGAAAGUCUAAUUAAAGAAAGUUUAAGACACUAUAAAUCUUAAGGAAUUAGGUUUAUAAUGUGGAACCCAGUCAGAGUUUGGGAUUACAUUGGAAAGUGAGUAUAUUGAAAAGGAUUGCAGAAACAUUUCUCUCAGCCAGAAUUUAAUUGCUCAGAAAACUGAAUUUCAGUAGAAUAGAUGAAAAGUGUUAGGCAGAGAGACUCAGACCUAUGACUGCUGAAGAAAGAGCUAAUUCCAUAUCCCUUUUUCUAGAUGCCCUGGAAUACACUUGUGUCAGUGACAAAUGCUGCUUUGCUGUGCUACACCGAGUACAAGGUCGUGGUAAGACAUGACUGGGAAGCAGUUACCAGAGACAAGCAAGGAUAGCGCUUUGACUGCAUCCUCUGCUGGUGGCUUCUGUAGUUAUGCAUAAAAUUUACUCUGAUCUGUUUACUUUUAUAGCCUGUCUUUACUUUGUUUCUUUUAAUAUUAUGCAUGUUUAGGCUAUGCUUUUUCUUUAAAUAUGUGAGCAAAUCUAUUGGUGUAAUGUACUCAUUACCCUAAAACCUAUAUUUUAAUGGACCUGAAGACCAUAAGGUAGAAGAUCAGAAGAAAAAGAAAAUGCAUACAUUUUUAUCUUUAAAACAAUUCACUUUUAAGAUUAUUUUCUUGAAAGGUAUACCUUUGAUGGAGCCGAAUCUGGUUCCUUCAGGCAGAUACAAUAGGAUACAAUAGGAUAGGACUUCUUGGGUAAAAAAGGUGUAGUAAUCUGUGAGUCUCACCGGAAGGAGAAAGGAAAUUAUUCAUUAAUUUGGCUGAGGCCAGGGUAGUAAGCAGAUUUAUUAUAAAUAUUGGCAGCAGAGGAGUACUUGAAAAGUGCUUAUAAAGUUAGAUCAUCUAUUUUUCCAAGCAAUAUUCUUCAUGUCAUUCCACCUUGCAAAAACUUUGUGGAAAGGAAUAGGCAUAUGAAUGAGCAAUGAAUAGACUUUGCAUUAGAUUGGUAAUCUUGCUACUAGUACAUUAAUUUACUUGUAUUACUGAUAUUUUAAGAUAGGAUUUUUACAGAUGUUUAUAUAUUUUUAAAAAGCCUAUUUUUUUCUUUACCCAUUUUCUCAAUUUUUUUAACCUCGAAAACUUUUUCCUCCCUGAGAGAAAUACAUGGGCUAUCUUCAGCACAGAACACAAACUCUGCCUUCUUUUCUCAAGUCCAGUGAUUCAAGUUUGACACACCACACCACGGUGGAUGUGCCUUUCAUGACGCAUCUUCUCAGCAGCACUAGAAGAUACAUCCAAAGUCCUGUGAGCAAGGUCUGUGGUAUCUGUUUAUUAUGGCAGCCCAGUGAGACUAAGACAGGCCAUCAAAAGACGUGAACGUUUUGGACCUUCUCUUGGGCCCUAGUAAACAGAAAUCAGAAGGAAGAAAACUUUGCUAAUGCUCUGCCAAGCCUCACUUUUCUGUCAUGAUUGGAAGGUUUGAUGUUAUCCAGAAUUUCUCAUGGAAGAUGGAAGAGCUGCAGCAUUACAAUGAAAGCCAUCUUGCAACAGCCUGAGUUCCUUUUUCUUUUACCUGAGUCAGGAACAAAAAAAUAUUCAUGUAUAUUCCCCAAAAGGACAAAAAAGGAUCCAAUGAAAGGGCUAGGUUGUAGAAAGGUCAGAGCAUUUUAGUGCUAAAUGACAACUAAAAUCACUCUCUCUGCACACCUUACAUUGUAAAAGAGAAAGUUAAGACCCAGAAAAAGAUCAAGAGUUUUUCAUUGGUCGUUACGAUAUUAAAGAAGUUUUGAAAUAUAUGGCUAGCUUUCUCACAUCUAUGAGCUGAUUAGACCUCAGCCAAAGACUUCACGGGAGCCCUCUGCAAGUUUCUAGAGUUCUUUGUGCAGCUUUUCCUCUUGGGUUCUCUGACUUGCAAACUCAAACCGCCAGGCUUUUCUUAGACUCAGCUCUGCCUCCUCAUCUCAGAGAGACCCUACAGUGGGGCCUGGGAACCCUCCAGGCUCUGAGCUGGACAAUGGAGCUCACCUCCAUUUUGUUUGAUUCCUCUCUCUCGGCAAUCACUCUUCUGUGCUACUGAUGUCCGGUGUCUGAAAUUCAUUUUUUUCAUAUCUUUUGUUGUUUGCUUGGUGUCAUUUCCUGCAGGAGGGUAAAUCUGGCUCCUGUUGUUCCAUCUGUCCUCCAGCAGCUUCCCAUACAGGCAGCUCACUUCACUUCAUUUUCAAUUUUAAUGACUUCUGUUCUUUAUUACGCCUUUUGUCUACUUUUUUUUUUGUUUUGGUUAUUCUUCUUGUUCUUUUUCUAACUUCUUGAGUUCAUAUUAAGUUAGUUAGCUUUUAGUCCUUCUAAGUCAAUUACUGAAUGUUUUGAAGUUUUCACUUUGUGUUACUUUAUAUUUUUUAGGCUACUUAUUAAACUAAACCACGUUCUGAACUGUUACUGCUACUGGAAACCAGUCCCGAUCCAGACCCCAAAAGAGGAUUCUUGGAUCUUGCACAAGAAAGAAAGGACACAGUGAAGGAGUGAGAUGUGAAGGUGCUCUGUCAUUGCCUCAGUCAAGACUUUCAUGGUACAUUGGAAGAAAGAGAAGCGUGAACAAAUUGCAUGAUACUUGAGGUCAUGCUGUGUACCUGUAUUGAACAAGAAUAAGGGAAGAAAGCUGGGAACCUGGAUCUCCCAUAUAUUGGAAGUUUUGUAAAAACCUUGAGGGUCCCUUCCACUACAUAUGGGGAUUAUGGGAACUGCAAUU